CCUACGGGAGGCAGCAGUAAGGAAUAUUGGUCAAUGGAGGCAACUCUGAACCAGCCACGCCGCGUGCAGGAUGACGGCCCUAUGGGUUGUAAACUGCUUUUAUACAAGAGAAAACCCUGGUACGUGUACCAGGUUGAUAGUAUUGUAAGAAUAAGCAUCGGCUAACUUCGUGCCAGCAGCCGCGGUAAGACGAAGGAUGCAAGCGUUAUCCGGAUUCAUUGGGUUUAAAGGGUGCGUAGGCGGACUGAUAAGUCAGUGGUGAAAUCUCUUUGCUUAACAAAGAAACUGCCAUUGAUACUGUCGGUCUAGAGUAUAGAUGACGUUGGCGGAAUAUGACAUGUAGUGGUGAAAUACUUAGAUAUGUCAUAGAACACCGAUUGCGAAGGCAGCUAACGAAACUAUAACUGACGCUGAGGCACGAAAGUGCGGGGAUCAAACAGGAUUAGAUACCCUGGUAGUCCGCACCGUAAACGAUGAUUGCUCGUUGUUGGCGAUAUGACAGUCAGCGACCAAGCGAAAGCGAUAAGAAUCCACCUGGGGAGUACGCCGGCAACGGUGAAACUCAAAGGAAUUGACGGCGNGAGAGNGCGAGGACGACGACGAGGGAGGAGG
rnacentral:rRNA from 1 species